GGCGGGGUAGCUCAGAUGGUUAGAGCGCAGGAUUCAUAACCCUGAGGUCACGAGUUCAAUUCUCGUCCCCGCUACCA
rnacentral:tRNA from 3 species